rnacentral:tRNA from 1 species
GUAAAGAUGACAGAACCUGGGGAUUGCAUAAAACUUAAAACUUUAUAAUCAGAAGUUCAACUCCUCUUCUUAACA